UACGUAGGGACCGAGCGUUGUCCGGAAUCAUUGGGCGUAAAGAGCGUGUAGGCGGCCUUUUAAGUCCGGCGUGAAAUCCUGCGGCUCAACCGCAGACGGUCGUGGGAAACUGGAAGGCUAGAGUGCGGGAGAGGAGAGUGGAAUUCCCGGUGUAGCAGUGAAAUGCGUAGAGAUCGGGAGGAACAUCAGUUGCGAAGGCGGCCACCUGGACCAGCACUGACACUGAGGCACGAAAGCGUGGGGAGCAAACAGG
rnacentral:rRNA from 1 species